rnacentral:rRNA from 1 species
UACGUAGGUGGCAAGCGUUGUCCGGAUUUACUGGGCGUAAAGAGCGCGCAGGCGGUCGUUCAAGUCGCGUGUGAAAGCCCCCGGCUCAACUGGGGAGGGUCACGCGAUACUGAUCGACUCGAAGGCAGGAGAGGGUAGUGGAAUUCCCGGUGUAGUGGUGAAAUGCGUAGAUAUCUGAAGGAACACCGGUGGCGAAGGCGGCUUCCUGGACCGACACUGACGCUGAGGCGCGAAAGCUAGGGGAGCAAACGGG